rnacentral:lncRNA from 1 species
CCCUUCUGCCAUGAUUGUAAGUUUCCUGAGGCCUCCCCAGCCCUGCAGAACUGGACCUGGGAGUGCGACAUGGUGGCCUCAGGGGAAAAGGGCUCUCGUCUAGACCUUCUGACUGUCCUCUGGAUCUUCCUGGUGUCCAUGCGGGGCUGCUGCUCUGGGCUGGCCCCAGGGCCUUUGGCCAGUGUCCAUGAGACCCGGAAUUCCAGCAACCAGUUUGACAACUCCUACAGAGAAACAGGAUCCACAUAAGGAUACAGCUUCUUCAUAUCCCUGUCCCAUGACUUCACCCUGCGUUCUUCAACCAAUCAAUGUGUCAGGCCUCUGAGCCCAGGCCUGCACGUAUACAUCCAGAUGGCAUGAAGUAACUGAGGAAUCACAAAAGAAGUGAAACUGGCCGGUUCCUGCCUUAACUGAUGACAUUACCUUGUGAAAUUCCUUCUCCUGGCUCAUCUGGGCUCAGAAGCUCCUCCACUGAGCACCUUGUGACCCCCCACCCCUGUCCGCCAGAGAGCAACCCCCUUUGACUGUAAUUUUCCACUACCUACCCAAAUCCUGUGAAAUGGCCCCACCCCAUCUCCCUUCACUGACUCUAUUUUCGGACUCCGCCCGCCUGCACCCAGGUGAAAUAAACAGCCUUGUUGCUCACACAAA